AGGACGAACGCUGGCGGCGUGCUUAACACAUGCAAGUCGAGCGGGUAAGGCCGUUCGGGGUAACGACGAGCGGCGGAACGGGUGAGUAACACGUGAGCAAUCUGCCCUUCACUUCGGGAUAAGCCUCGGAAACGGGGUCUAAUACCGGAUAUGACUGCGCCAUGCAUGUGGUGUGGUGGAAAGUUCUGGCGGUGAGGGAUGAGCUCGCGGCCUAUCAGUCUUGGUUGGUGGGUAAUGGCCUACCGAAGGCUUACGGACGGGUACGCCGGCCUGGAGGUAGGGUCGACCGGACCACACGUGGGACUAGGACGACGACCGGACC
rnacentral:rRNA from 1 species